rnacentral:rRNA from 1 species
UACGGAGGGUGCAAGCGUUAUCCGGAUUCACUGGGUUUAAAGGGUGCGUAGGUGGGCAGGUAAGUCAGUGGUGAAAUCUCCGGGCUUAACCCGGAAACUGCCAUUGAUACUAUCUGUCUUGAAUACCGUGGAGGUGAGCGGAAUAUGUCAUGUAGCGGUGAAAUGCUUAGAUAUGACAUAGAACACCAAUUGCGAAGGCAGCUCACUACGCGAAUAUUGACGCUGAGACGCGAAAGCGUGGGGAGCGAACAGG